GAAAGGGGGGCUGAAAUGGGGUAAAAGGGUCCCAAAAUGAAGUAAAAAGGUCCCGGAGUGAGGUGAGGGGGGCUGAAAUGUGGUAAAAGGGUCCCGGAGUGAGGUGAGGGGGACUUAAAUGGGGUAAAAGGGUCCCAAAAUGAAGUAAAAGGGCCCCGGUGUGAGGUGAGGGGGGCUGAAAUGAGGUAAAAGGGUCCCGGAGUGAGGUGAGGGGGACUUAAAUGGGGUAAAAGGGUCCCAAAAUGAGGUAAAGUGGGGCUGAAGUGAGGUAAAAGGGUCCCAAAAUGAGGUAAAAGGGGCCUAAAACGAGGUAAAGGGGCCUUAAAAUGAGAUAAAAGGGUCUUGUUAUGAGGUGAGGGGGUCCC